GACUCGUGGAAAGAAUGAGUUUCUCAUCAGGAGCUGUUCUCUCCGCGUGAUGCCUGCUUCCCUGUGAGGAGAGGCCUGUGCGGCUCCCAGGGAGAUGGGCCGGAGCCGUGGGGCUGGUGAGAGUCUUGCUGUGUUGCCUGGGUGAUGUCUGCUCACUGCUACCUCCACCUCCUGGGUUUAAGUGACUGUCGUGUCUUAGCCAUGUGAGUAGCUGGGAUUAUAGGUGCGCACCACCUGUAAUACUUAAUAAAAAUAUUAACCUGGUUAAUAUGCUUGUAUUU
rnacentral:lncRNA from 13 species